UGCUGAGGACGGGAUUAGGUUCU
rnacentral:miRNA from 1 species